AAAAUCAUAAUUUGUGAUCGACUGAAGAAAAAAUGUCACCUACAUCUUGGAUGCACUGGGGGGAGGUUGCAGAUUUACUCUAAAAAUAGCUGUGGAAUGACUGGACUUCAUCUGGCUUGAUGUUGAGCAGCAGUUCACAUUUAGGACAUUCCUGAGAAAGAGGGAGAGGGGGAAAGAGAGGGAAAUAAUAAGAAGGGUUGGGAGAGGAGAGGACAGGAAAGGAGAGAUGACAGUCAUUCUAUGGAUAGACAUGAUGGUGGAGAUGUUCAUUCAUGUUUAUUUCGCGCUGUAACUGGUAUUAAAGCGGAGGAGAGGAUCAGUUCACGCUGCCGCUUCUCUUGAACUGCAGCAAUUUGUCACGCCACAUUAAAGAGCACCAAAACGAAUGAGACCUGUUACGAUCCGCUGGGCCCCCAGAUCUAUCUCCAGCGAUUGGUUCUUCACGAGACCCUGCGGGUGAGCGACCACCCAGCCCGUUCGGCCGGUCAGCAGCCGGGCCUGUUCAGGGAGCCAGCCCCUCUCUGCCGACGGCCAUACUGAGAUCUGAGAAUCCGAAAUCUGACCCGAAACCAUCCCUAACAUACUGGAGCAUGGAGCGUCUGAGAGAAGGAGAGAGAGAAUGUGAGCUACCUUCAUGAAAGAAGCAACAAUAUUCUGAACCACAGGAAACAGACAUACAGGCUACUUCUUGUCUGACUCUACCAGUCAGAAAUGAAUCCUCUGAUGGCGUCCAGCCGUUGUCGGGGUAAUGCAGUCUGGAGCGCAGUGGAGACCAGCUGGGAUUAUACUGUGAUGACGCAGUUAUCAUGUCUUCUGUGAUUUCACCGCUUUCCAUCCCUAAAGGAGACAUG